AUCUGAGAUAACACUUCUGGAGGCUGCGGGGCGACAACCACAGCUGAUACCAUCUUUUAUUGUUUGUUGUUAUUUAUCUAGCAUUAUAAACUAAGGAGGAAAAGUAACAAAGAACUUGAAGACUUUCAUGACUCCCAGGCCCUGGAUGGAGGCAGGCGGCGUCAGACAGACAGAACCAAGAAAUCUGAGGGGCAGCCAGGAGGUGCCUGUGGCUGCAGAGCCCAGGCUUGUCUUUGGAAAGGAUUGAGAAGAGCCAGUAAACUUGGCUUCCUCACUUCUGCUUCUCAUACACAGGCGAAUGGUUUGAAGAUAUUGGCCUAGCAAGAUGGCAACGGGUUUGAAAAAUAGGAUUCAUAAGAGGU